rnacentral:rRNA from 1 species
UACGUAGGGUGCGAGCGUUGUCCGGAAUUAUUGGGCGUAAAGAGCUCGUAGGCGGUCUGUCGCGUCGAUCGUGAAAACUUGGGGCUUAACCCUGAGCUUGCGGUCGAUACGGGCAUGACUGGAGUUCGGCAGGGGAGACUGGAAUUCCUGGUGUAGCGGUGAAAUGCGCAGAUAUCAGGAGGAACACCGGUGGCGAAGGCGGGUCUCUGGGCCGAUACUGACGCUGAGACGCGAAAGCGUGGGGAGCAAACAGG